ACGGAGGGGGCUAGCGUUGUUCGGAAUUACUGGGCGUAAAGAGUACGUAGGCGGUUAUUCAAGUCAGAGGUGAAAGCCUGGAGCUCAACUCCAGAACUGCCUUUGAAACUAGAUAGCUAGAAUCAUGGAGAGGUUAGUGGAAUUCCGAGUGUAGAGGUGAAAUUCGUAGAUAUUCGGAAGAACACCAGUGGCGAAGGCGACUAACUGGACAUGUAUUGACGCUGAGGUACGAAAGCGUGGGGAGCAAACAGGAUUAGAUACCCUGGUAGUCCACGCCGUAAACGAUGAUAACUAGUUGUUCGGGCACAACGUGCUUGAGUGACGCAGCUAACGCAUUAAGUUAUCCGCCUGGGGAGUACGGUCGCAAGAUUA
rnacentral:rRNA from 1 species